rnacentral:rRNA from 1 species
UACGUAGGUGGCAAGCGUUGUCCGGAUUUACUGGGCGUAAAGAGCGCGCAGGCGGCCAAUCAAGUCCGACGUGAAAUUCCUCGGCUCAACCGGGGGCCUGCGUCGGAUACUGCUUGGCUUGAGUCCCGGAGAGGGUAGUGGAAUUCCCAGUGUAGCGGUGAAAUGCGUAGAUACUGGGAGGAACACCGGUGGCGAAGGCGGCUACCUGGACGGGUACUGACGCUGAGGCGCGAAAGCUAGGGGAGCAA